UGGUGGAUGCCUUGGCUUAAGGAGGCGAUGAAGGACGCGAGCUAGCGGCGAUACGCUCCGGGGAGGUGCUAAGCAACUUUUGAUCCGGAGGUCUCCGAAUGGGGAAACCUGUUUCGGUAAAACCGAUUCGUCCAGCCGUAAUUUCAGUUCUUUUAGUUAGUUAUUUUGUAGGAAAAGCGAAUCUGACAAGUCCGUCCGUCUUAACUGGUGAUCCCAGCGAUUGGUGUAAGCCGAUUGUGAUGCCGGCAGUGCGCAAGGGAAGUUCGUAACCGGCAGGUAGUCGUGAGUGCACUCAAAAUCAAAGCCUGCUUCUCCUACAAACACUCCCAAACUAACGGUUUGGGAACUGAAAUUACGGCUGGAAGCGUACCCUGGGAAGUAAAACAUUUCAGUACCAGGAGGAGUAGAAACCAAUAAGUAUUCCGUCAGUAGCGGCGAGCGAACGCGGAGAAGCCCAAACCGAUGCGUAGCAUCGGAAAUUCCAAAUCACAAUUUCCAAAUCACAAACAAAUCUCAAAUCUAAAACUCAAACGACUUUCUGAAGUCGUUCCCGCGCAGGCGGAAAUCCAGUUUAAUCUGGUUCCCCGUUUACACGGGGAUGACAUUAAGAAAUGUCAUUUCGGGCUUUGGAUAUUGGGUAUUGUUUGGAAUUUGGUGCUUGGGUAUUGGAGAUUCCGCUGCUGCGCAGCGGUGUUGUAAGGCAGAAGCGUCGUAUUUAUACGAGGAAAGUUACAAAAUUGUUUGUUAAUGGAAGUUGCUGGAAAGCGACACCCCAGAGGGUGAUAGUCCCGUACAUGAAAACAAACAAUCUUUCUUGCUUCUGUUCUUGAGUACCUCAAGACACGAAUAGCUUGGGGGAAUCCGCCGGAACUAACCGGCAAGGCUAAAUACUUCUUAAGACCGAUAGUGAACUAGUACCGUGAGGGAAAGGUGAAAAGCAGCCCGGUGAGGGCGGUGAAAUAGACCUGAAACCAUAUGCUUACAAGGAGUGCGACCGUUAACUAUUGACUAUUAACUUUUGACUUUAUUGUUAAGAGUUAGCGGUUAAAGGUUAAUAGUUGCGGUGCGGAGCGCCGUCACCGCGUGCCUAUUGAAGAAUGAGCCAACGAGUUGAUGUAUUCGGCUUGCCUAAGUGCGAGAGCGCGGAGGCGAAGCGAAAGCGAGUGUUAAUAGCGCGACAAUAUGUCGAAUCCAUCAGACCCGAAGCCAGGUGAGCUUACCAUGAGCAGGAUGAAUCCGCCAGAAAUGGCGGAGGAGGUCCGAACGCUAGAGCUGUGCAAUACUCUGCGAUGACUUGUGGUAAGGAGUGAUAAGCUAAUCGAACCUGGUAAUAGCUGGUUCUCUCCGAAAUAGCUUUAGGGCUAGCGUCGUGCGUUCCUUUUGGGGGUAGAGCUCUGGAUGGUCUAAAUAGGUCGAAAGACCGUUAGACCAAUCAAACUUCGAAUACCAAAAGCGCCCGCAUCACAGGGAAUGUGAUGCGGAGAAGUAGGAUUUACGAUUUACGAUUUAUGAAUAAGACAGUCUUAUUUCUUAAAUCCUACUUCUUAAAUCAUACAUCUCCGCAUCGCGUUUCGCGCGAUGCGGGUAGAAUGCGGCAGUUAGACCGUGGGGGCUAAGCUCCAAAGGUCAAAAAGGGAAGAGCCUAUGAUCUCCAGUUAAGGUCCCAAAAUCUGCGCUCAGUACAUCACAAGGAAGUGGAAUUUCUCUGACAAUGAGGAUGUAGGCUUAGAAGCAGCCAUCAUUGAAAGAAAGCGUAACAGCUCACUCAUCGAGAAAUUCUGCACCGAAGAUAAUCGGGGUUAAGCGCAGUACCGAAACUGAGGGUGCCUCGUGUAGAACACAAGGAAAUUCCAAAUUACAAUUCCCAAAUCACAAACAAACGACUUAUCUUAAGUCGUUCCCGCGAAAGCGGGAAUCCAGAUUUCUUGGUUCCCCGCCUCCGCGGGGAUGACAUUAAGAAAUGUCAAUUGUUUGGAAUUUGGUGCUUGGUUAUUGGGAUUUUCUCGCGUUCUACGCGAGGUGCGGUAGGAGAGUAUUCGCAUCUGCAGUGAAGCCAAAGGGGUGACCCAUGGUGGAGCGUUGCGAAGUAAGAAUGUUGGCACAAGUAACCACAAUGCGGGUGAGAAACCCGCACGCCGAAAGACUAAGGUUUCCUCCUCGAUGAUUGUCAGAGGAGGGUUAGUCGGGCCUAAGGGGAUGGCGAAAGCCGCACCUGAUGGACACACGGUUAAUAUUCCGUGACUUUGGCGCGUUUCGACGGAGUGACGAAGUCUAGUAUGCCGUGCGCAUUAUUGGAUUUGACGUUCUUGGCUCGGAGACGACUUCCAGGCAAAUCCGGGAGUCUGCCUUUAAUGGCGAGUCGAAGGAGCAGAGAAGACCCGCCUAACUUUGUUUCGGAAAUUGAGAGUGUUGUUGGUUGAGAAUUUUUUUGGAGAUUCUUAACUAGCACACAUUUCUAUUGUUCGGAGACAAAGUUGGGCGGGGAUAUGGCAAAUCGGACUUCCAAGAAAAACUUCUAAGAUUAAACGCGACAAAACCGUACCGUAAACCGACACAGGUAGUCAGCUCGAGUAGAGCAAGGCGAACGAAUGAGAGGUCUCCAAGGAACUCGGCAAAAAAGCGGCCGUAACUUCGGAAUAAGGCCUGCCUUGUGCGAAGCACAAGGAAAUUCUAAUUUCUAAUUUCUAAUUUCUAAACAAAUUCCAAAUUCUAAAAUUCAAAUCUCAAACGCGGUUGUUUGGGGCUUGUGAUUUCUGAUUUGUGUUUUGUUUAGGGUUUAGAGUUUAGUUUUUAGGAUUUCCUCGCGCUUCGCGCGAGGCCACAGCUAAAGUCUGCCUGGCGACUGUUUAUCAAAAACACAGCUCCCUGCGAACUCGUAAGAGAAUGUAUAGGGGGUGACACUUGACCAAUGCCAGAAGGUCAAAUAACGGCGGUGCUAUGGUCGCAAGAUUGUAGUGCUGACUGUUAUAAGCCCUGGUGAAUGUCGGCGAUAACUAUAAUCGUCCUAAGGUCGGGUAAGUUCCGACGCGUUGAAUAGUGUAACGUCUGGGCAACUGUCUCGGAGACUCGUUCGGUGAAAAUACAAUACCGGUGAAGAUGCCGGUUACCUGCAGCUAGACGAAAAGACCCCGGAAGCUUUACUGCAACUUGGUAUUGCUUGUAUGUUUUAACUGCGUAGCGUAGGCGGGAGACUUUGAAGUCCUGAUCUCGGUCGGGAUGGAGUCGCCGAUGAAACACCGCUCUGUUGAAAUGUACCGGCUAACCUCGCCGGCAAAAACGGCGAGAGACAGUACCUGGCGGGCAGUUUUAGUGGGGCGCUACCCUUCUAAAGAGUAACGAAGGGGUCCAUCAAGGUCAGCUAGGCGCGAAUGGAAACCGUGCCGAUAGUGCAAUGGCAUAAGCUGGCCUCACUGUAAGGCGUAAGUGCCGAACAGACGCGAAAGCGGGGCAUAGUGAACCGACCGUGUUGGCUGUUCGCCAAUUAAAGUGUUACGUGAGCUGGGUUCAGACCGUCGAGUAAAACAGGUUGGUCUCCUAUCUGCUGCAGGCGUUGAUUCUUGAAGGGAUUCGUUCUUAGUACGAGAGGACCAGAACGAACGGACCUCUGGUGUACCUGCUGUCCUGCCAAGGGCACAUCUAAGCGGGAAACCGCCCCUAAGAUGAGGAAUCGAGCGU
rnacentral:rRNA from 1 species